UACAGAGGUCCCGAGCGUUGUUCGGAUUCAUUGGGCGUAAAGGGUGCGUAGGCGGCGGGGCAAGUCUGAUGUGAAAUCCCAUCGGCUCAACCGUGGAAUAGCUCCCAGUACUGUAUCGCUCGAGGGGGAUAGGGGUCUGCGGAACUACCGGUGGAGCGGUGAAAUGUGUUGAUAUCGGUGGGAACGCCAGUGGCGAAAGCGGCAGACUUGACCCUUCCUGACGCGUGAGUGCGCGAAAGCUAGGGGAGCAAACGGG
rnacentral:rRNA from 1 species